rnacentral:rRNA from 1 species
AGGAGUUUGGAUCCUGGCUCAGAAUGAACGCUGGCGGCGUGCCUAACACAUGCAAGUCGAACGAGAAAGCGGGCUUCGGCCCGUGAGUAAAGUGGCAGACGGGUGAGUAAUACGUGGGCAACCUGCCCGGAGGUGGGGGAUAACUUCUCGAAAGGGAAGCUAAUACCGCAUGACAUCCCGAUUGCUUCGGCAUUCGGGAUCAAAGUUUGCCUCUGUUUCAUGCAAACGCCACCGGAGGGGCCCGCGCCCCAUUAGCUUGAUGGUGAGGUAACGGCUCACCAUGGCUACGAUGGGUAGCCGGCCUGAGAGGGUGAUCGGCCACACUGGAACUGAGACACGGUCCAGACUCCUACGGGAGGCAGCAGUGAGGAAUUUUGCGCAAUGGGCGAAAGCCUGACGCAGCGACGCCGCGUGGAGGACGAAGGCCUUCGGGUCGUAAACUCCUGUCAAGGGGGACGAAUCCCGGACGGAUGAAUAAGCCGUCCGGUUGACGGUACCUCUGAAGGAAGCCCCGGCUAACUCCGUGCCAGCAGCCGCGGUAAUACGGAGGGGGCUAGCGUUGUUCGGAAUUAUUGGGCGCUAAAGGGCGCGUAGGCGGCCUGGCAAGUCGGAAGUGAAAGCCCUCGGCUCAACCGGGGUAUUGCUUCCGAAACUGCCGGGCUUGAGCCCGGA